GCUCCCGUGGUCUAGCGGGUUAUGACGUUGUUCUUAUAAUUACAUCAUCAAUGUAAGAGAUGCGAAGGUCGCGAGUUCGAUCCUCGCCGGGAGCA
rfam:Colletotrichum incanum strain MAFF 238704 contig845, whole genome shotgun sequence.